rnacentral:rRNA from 1 species
ACGAACGCUGGCGGCAGGCCUAACACAUGCAAGUCGAGCGAGGACUUCGGUUCUAGCGGCGGACGGGUGAGUCACGCGUGGGAAUGUGCCCUUCUCUACGGAAUAGCCCCGGGAAACUGGGAGUAAUACCGUAUACGCCCUAUUGGGGAAAGAUUUAUCGGAGAAGGAUCAGCCCGCGUUGGAUUAGGUAGUUGGUGGGGUAAUGGCCUACCAAGCCGACGAUCCAUAGCUGGUUUGAGAGGAUGAUCAGCCACACUGGGACUGAGACACGGCCCAGACUCCUACGGGAGGCAGCAGUGGGGAAUCUUAGACAAUGGGGGCAACCCUGAUCUAGCCAUGCCGCGUGAGUGAUGAAGGCCUUAGGGUUGUAAAGCUCUUUCAGCUGGGAAGAUAAUGACGGUACCAGCAGAAGAAGCCCCGGCUAACUCCGUG